rnacentral:lncRNA from 1 species
ACAACCCUGAGAAAGGAAAAUUCUGCUCUCUGUGUUUUAAAUUCAUGUCACAAGGGAGCACCUAAUAAGGACCUGACUCACAGUGGACAUUAAAACAGUGAUUAUGUGAACUAAUUGGUGGAUAAAUCGUUGGCUCUCUGCUUCAAGCACAGCAAAACAAGUCAGCUUCUUGGAUAUCUUUUAUGGGAGAUAAUAUGGCUAUCCAAAUGUUCACCAAUCCCUCACUUAUGCCUUGUGCCCACUCAUGGGAGACAUAUAAUCUCAUGCCCCAGUGAUGUUGGGCUUUGACAUGUGACUUGCUUUGGCCAAGAGAAUGUAAUCAGAGAUAACAUAUGCCACAUUUUAUUAGAAGCUGUGAGAGAUAUUUUACAUUUCUAUCAGUCACCUUUAAUUUCUGCCCUCUGGAAUUUUAAAAGUAUGUUGUAGUUGUGGCUAAUAUUUCCACUUGGAUACUGCAAUAAGAAAACACAAAGAGACAGGCCAAGCACAAUAAGACCAACCAACCAAAUCCAGAAAUGCUCAGCCAAACUGAAGCUGACCCUCGGCAUUCAUGUGAUGGGUGAGAACUACAAGGUGUAAGCCUUUGAGAUUUUGUGGUUCUCUGGCUGAAAGAAAAGUUGAUUGAUAUCCUUCUAUAAAACAAAAGAUUCAGAAGGAUCUAAUGGAUUAGGUUUUAGUAUAUUAUUGCAAAUCAUAAUGAAUUCUUAGAUACAUAUUUUUUAACCAUAAUAGGAAGAAUAGCUAUUUAUACAACUCAUAUUUACAAGAUGAUUUCAUAUUUUUAGUUCAUUUUCUGCUGUGUAGAAAUGUAAUGGUUAUAAUAUGGUGCCCUUUCAUGCUCAUCAAGCACUCUUUUAUCUCACUAAUGAAGGGCAAAAGUGAUGGACAUAUGUUGUUACUAGAAUAAAAGGCCACCUUACACUCAAGAAAAUUAAUGUAUUACUGUGAUAACUUUGUUCUCUAUUAAAAAUGAAUCAUUCUUGAAUCAGAAUUUCUUUACUUUGGAAGUUAGUAUUUCACCCUUAUAUCAAUUUAACUUUGUAGAAAUAUGACUAGAAAUUAAAUGGCAUAAAAACUGAGAAACAAAUUUAUACAGAAAAGAUUUACAAUUUAUAAUGAGUUGUGCCAAGUAGGAAAUAUUUUAACCUCAUAAGGAUAAGUGUGAAAUCAAGAAAUUUGUAGUCAAAGGUGGUUCAUCCUAUAAAAAUAAAAAUAUAUAGGAGAAUACUGAUGAGAAAAGAAAAUUAAAAUAUCCAGAAAUUUUCAUGUAGCUUAUUUGAAGUCACAAAAUGUGACAAAAAUACCAUAAAAUAAAAUGUGUAAUUCAGGGCUCCAGAAAUGGCCAUGGUGCUGAUAGUUGACAGCUGUUGUUUUUGCCUUCCCAGCACUCUCCCACUUUUUAAUGUUAAGAGAAUUCUAAUUCUGUUUUGGGAAACAUCCUCUCCUCUUUCACUUCAGUAGCCCUAGUGCUAUAGUGUCAUUCCUCUUUUAAAUGUGGGCAAUGUGAGCCCAAUAAAUCAUAGUCUCAUAUGACCCUCACCACAGGCAUUUCUUUAGGACUGGCAUCUGAGCCAAGAGAGGAUACUCAGAGCAGACAGGAAUCUGAGGAGUGAAAGAAACUUUCUUCAGCUAUUAAAGUUGAGAGAAGAUAGCAGUAAGAUGGGAGCAGCCGGUGUACAUCUAGUCAGCAGAAAUGGCAAGCCAGCCUGAGAACUCCACUAACACAAAGGAAAGCAAAGCUCAGAGAAGGCAAGGGACAGACCAAGUUCUGAUGAUGCCAUAUAAUCCCACACCCUCCCAAACAGGAUACACCUGAUUUUUUAACCUUGUUUUCCUUUCUCUUGCAAUUUCAAUCCCUGAUAGAUACAGUGCUCCUGGGGGUGGUUGAGGCAUUUGAAGAUGAAUAUUUUACAAUUAGACUUUCCCUUCACGUCUGUAUUUCAGUAAACCCAUAAAUAACAUAUUUCAGAAGUGGUUGGAUUCUUGUGAUGUUUCUCAAUUUAAGUUUCAUUUUUGCAACCAUGUCCUCUAGAGGAAUUCCAGCAAAUGGCUGGCAGUGAAGUUUGGCAUGCAAACAUAUGAGGACUGUAUCUGAAAAUCUCCUUUGAAUAUUGAUUCAUCAGAUGAUUAAUCUCUAAUUUUUUAAUUAAAAAAAGCAGGCUAUAUUAUUAGUACAAAAAGAGUUUUUUUCAUUUUGUAAAUUUUUAUUUUGGGAAAAAAGUCAAACCUACAGAAAAGUUGGAGGAAUUUUACUACAGGCACAAUGCAACUUGUACCUAGAGAAAUUUAGACAUUAAAUUUUUCCCAAAAUUAUUUUCUUUCUCUAAAUACAUAUGCUUUUUUUUCUUUUGCUGAACAAUUUGAAAAUAAUUUGUAGGCAUUUCAUAACUUACCUGACAAAUAUGUUAGCAGGACUCUCCUAAGAAUAAAAACAUUCUUCUCUAUAACUUCUAUACCAAUGUUGCAUCUAAGAAAAUUAACUCUAAUUUUAAAAUAUCACCUAAUAUACUGUCCAUCUUCAAAAUUCCCUAAUUGUUCUAAAAUUGUCUUUUAGGAUCUUUUUGUAAAACUCCAGGAUCCAAUUGUGGUGUGUAAAUUGAAUUUGGUUAUGUCUCUUUAGUUUCUUUUAAUGUUGAACUGUCCCUUAUAUUUUUUCUCGUUAUAUUGAAUUGUUGACCAUUCUAGGCCUCUGGUCUUUUACAAUGUGUUCCUUUCUUGUUUUUUCUUAUGUAAAUUCAGUUUAAUAAUUUUGGCAAGAAUAGUACACAGUUGCUAUGUAUAUUUCUUGUUGUUUCACAUUAAGAACAUUAUAUCAAGUUGUCCUACCAUUGAUGAUUCAAAGUUUGGCUGCUAAAUCUCCGAAUUAUAAAGAAAAAUUCUUUUCUAUUAGUAAUUAAUAUUAUACUUGUGUGAUAUCUUGAAUAGGUAGGAAAGUCCAGUUUUCCAACAAUCCCCCACACAAUGGUUUUAGCAUUUGUUGAUAACGCUCAGAGAAGGCAAGGGACUGAACAAGUUCUGAUGAUGUGUUUUCGUUUUCGUUUGAAUAAAGUUCAUUUUUAGAAUUCAAUCAUUUUUUCCAUAUUUGUUAGAUGUCCUUUAUCUAUAAAGAUAAAGAAGACGUUACUUCCAUUCCUGCAUCUUCAUCAUACUCACACACAUAAUUAACCUUUUUCAUUAUUUUCUGUUUAUCUUUUCUGUGUGUGUGAUGUAUUACAUAUUAUACAUUUUAAAUAAUAUAUAAUAGAGAACAUUUAUUUGUACACAUACACACACACACAAAUUUCUUUUAUGCUCA